rnacentral:rRNA from 1 species
GAAUUCGCCCUUAGAGUUUGAUCCUGGCUCAGGACGAACGCUGGCGGCGCGCCUAACACAUGCAAGUCGAACGAGAGAUGAGGAGCUUGCUCUUCAAAUCGAGUGGCGAACGGGUGAGUAACGCGUGAGGAACCUGCCUCAAAGAGGGGGACAACAGUUGGAAACGACUGCUAAUACCGCAUAAGCCCACGGCUCGGCAUCGAGCAGAGGGAAAAGGAGCAAUCCGCUUUGAGAUGGCCUCGCGUCCAAUUAGCUAGUUGGUGAGGUAACGGCCCACCAAGGCGACGAUUGGUAGCCGGACUGAGAGGUUGAACGGCCACAUUGGGACUGAGACACGGCCCAGACUCCUACGGGAGGCAGCAGUGGGGGAUAUUGCACAAUGGGGGAAACCCUGAUGCAGCGACGCCGCGUGGAGGAAGAAGGUUUUCGGAUUGUAAACUCCUGUCGUUAGGGACGAUAAUGACGGUACCUAACAAGAAAGCACCGGCUAACUACGUGCCAGCAGCCGCGGUAAAACGUAGGGUGCAAGCGUUGUCCGGAAUUACUGGGUGUAAAGGGAGCGCAGGCGGGAAGACAAGUUGGAAGUGAAAACCAUGGGCUCAACCCAUGAAUUGCUUUCAAAACUGUUUUUCUUGAGUAGUGCAGAGGUAGAUGGAAUUCCCGGUGUAGCGGUGGAAUGCGUAGAUAUCGGGAGGAACACCAGUGGCGAAGGCGGUCUACUGGGCACCAACUGACGCUGAGGCUCGAAAGCAUGGGUAGCAAACAGGAUUAGAUACCCUGGUAGUCCAUGCCGUAAACGAUGAUUACUAGGUGUUGGGGGAUUGACCCCCUCAGUGCCGCAGUUAACACAAUAAGUAAUCCACCUGGGGAGUACGACCGCAAGGUUGAAACUCAAAGGAAUUGACGGGGGCCCGCACAAGCAGUGGAGUAUGUGGUUUAAUUCGAAGCAACGCGAAGAACCUUACCAGGUCUUGACAUCCGAUGCAUAACACAGAGAUGUGUGAAAUCCUUCGGGACAUCGAGACAGGUGGUGCAUGGUUGUCGUCAGCUCGUGUCGUGAGAUGUUGGGUUAAGUCCCGCAACGAGCGCAACCCUUAUUGCCAGUUACUACGUUAAGAGGACUCUGGCGAGACUGCCGUUGACAAAACGGAGGAAGGUGGGGAUGACGUCAAAUCAUCAUGCCCUUUAUGACCUGGGCUACACACGUACUACAAUGGCGAUAAACAAAGAGAAGCAAGACCGCGAGGUGGAGCAAAACUCAAAAACAACGUCUCAGUUCAGAUUGCAGGCUGCAACUCGCCUGCAUGAAGUCGGAAUUGCUAGUAAUCGCGGAUCAGCAUGCCGCGGUGAAUACGUUCCCGGGCCUUGUACACACCGCCCGUCA